GACGAACGCUGGCGGCGUGCUUAACACAUGCAAGUCGAACGGAAAGGCCCUGCUUUUGUGGGGUGCUCGAGUGGCGAACGGGUGAGUAACACGUGAGUAACCUGCCCUUGACUUUGGGAUAACUUCAGGAAACUGGGGCUAAUACCGGGUAGGAGCUCCUGCUGCAUGGUGGGGGUUGGAAAGUUUCGGCGGUUGGGGAUGGACUCGCGGCUUAUCAGCUUGUUGGUGGGGUAGUGGCUUACCAAGGCUUUGACGGGUAGUCGGCCUGAGAGGGUGACCGGCCACAUUGGGACUGAGAUACGGCCCAGACUCCUACGGAGGCAGCAGUGGGGAAUAUUGCACAAUGGGCGGAAGCCUGAUGCAGCAACGCCGCGUGCGGGAUGACGGCC
rnacentral:rRNA from 1 species